rnacentral:rRNA from 1 species
CCUACGGGGGACAGCAGUGAGGAAUAUUGGUCAAUGGGCGAGAGCCUGAACCAGCCAAGUCGCGUGAGGGAGUACUGCCCUAUGGGUUGUAAACCUCUUUUGUCGGGGAGCAAAAGCCGGACGUGUCCGGCUGUGAGAGUACCCGAAGAAAAAGCAUCGGCUAACUCCGUGCCAGCAGCCGCGGUAAUACGGAGGAUGUGAGCGUUAUCCGGAUUUACUGGGUGUAAAGGGCGUGCAGCCGGGAAGACAAGUCAGAUGUGAAAUCCCGCGGCUCAACCGCGGAACUGCAUUUGAAACUGUUUUUCUUGAGUACCGGAGAGGUCAUCGGAAUUCCUUGUGUAGCGGUGAAAUGCGUAGAUAUAAGGAAGAACACCAGUGGCGAAGGCGGAUGACUGGACGGCAACUGACGGUGAGGCGCGAAAGCGUGGGGAGCAAACAGGAUUAGAUACCCGGGUAGUC